rnacentral:rRNA from 1 species
UACGUAGGGUGCAGGCGUUAAUCGGAAUUACUGGGCGUAAAGCGUGCGCAGGCGGUUCGUUGUGUCGGUGGUGAAAUCCCCGGGCUUAACCUGGGAAUGGCCAUGGAAACUGGCGAACUGGAGUGUGGCAGAGGGGGGUGGAAUUCCGCGUGUAGCAGUGAAAUGCGUAGAGAUGCGGAGGAACACCGAUGGCGAAGGCAGCCCCCUGGGCUAGCACUGACGCUCAUGCACGAAAGCGUGGGGAGCAAACAGG